rnacentral:rRNA from 1 species
GACGUAGGGCGCGAGCGUUGUCCGGAUUUAUUGGGCGUAAAGAGCUCGUAGGCGGCUCGUUGCGUCGGCUGUGAAAACCCGCAGCUCAACUGUGGGCUUGCAGCUGAUACGGGCGGGCUGGAGUUCGGUAGGGGAGACUGGAAUUCCUGGUGUAGCGGUGAAAUGCGCAGAUAUCAGGAGGAACACCUAUUGCGAAGGCAGCUCGCUGGGACGUAACUGACGCUGAGACGCGAAAGCGUGGGGAGCAAACAGG